rnacentral:rRNA from 1 species
GAUGAACGCUGGCGGCGUGCCUAAUACAUGCAAGUCGAGCGAACAGACGAGGAGCUUGCUCCUCUGACGUUAGCGGCGGACGGGUGAGUAACACGUGGAUAACCUACCUAUAAGACUGGGAUAACUUCGGGAAACCGGAGCUAAUACCGGAUAAUAUAUUGAACCGCAUGGUUCAAUAGUGAAAGACGGUUUUGCUGUCACUUAUAGAUGGAUCCGCGCCGCAUGAGAUAGUUGGUAAGGUAACGGCUUACCAAGGCGACGAUGCGUAGCCGACCUGAGAGCGAGGUCGGCCACACGGGAACUGAGACACAGUCCAGACUCCUACAGGGGGAAGCAGUAGAGAAUCUUACGCGAUGGACGAGAGCCUGACGGAGCAACGCCGGGUGAGUGAUGAAGGUCUUCGGAUCGUAGAACUCUGUUAUUAGGAAAGAACAAAUGUGUAAGUAACUAUGCACGUAUUGACGGUACCUAGUCAGAAAGCCACGGCUAACUACGUG